rnacentral:rRNA from 1 species
GAUGAACGCUGGCGGCGUGCCUAAUACAUGCAAGUCGAGCGAACAGAUAAUGAGCUUGCUCCUUUAACGUUAGCGGCGGACGGGUGAGUAACACGUGGGUAACCUACCUAUAAGACGGGAAUAACUCCGGGAAACCGGUGCUAAUGCCGGAUAACAUUUAGAACCGCAUGGUUCUAAAGUGAAAGAUGGUUUUGCUGUCACUUAUAGAUGGACCCGCGCCGUAUUAGCUAGUUGGUAAGGUAACGGCUUACCAAGGCAACGAUACGUAGCCGACCUGAGAGGGUGAUCGGCCACACUGGAACUGAGACACGGUCCAGACUCCUACGGGAGGCAGCAGUAGGGAAUAUUCCGCAAUGGGCGCAAGCCUGACGGAGCAACGCCGCGUGAGUGAUGAAGGUCUUCGGAUCGUAAAACUCUGUUAUUAGGGAAGAACAAAUGUGUAAGUAACUACGCACGUCUUGACGGUACCUAAUCAGAAAGCCACGGCUAACUACGUG